rnacentral:rRNA from 1 species
AACGAACGCUGGCGGCAUGCCUAACACAUGCAAGUCGAACGAGACCUUCGGGUCUAGUGGCGCACGGGUGCGUAACGCGUGGGAACCUGCCCUUAGGUUCGGAAUAACUCCCCGAAAGGGGUGCUAAUACCGGAUAAUGUCUUCGGACCAAAGAUUUAUCGCCUUUGGAUGGGCCCGCGUUGGAUUAGCUAGUUGGUAGGGUAAAAGCCUACCAAGGCGACGAUCCAUAGCUGGUCUGAGAGGAUGAUCAGCCACACUGGGACUGAGCCACGGCCCAGACUCCUCCGGGAGGCAGCAGUGGGGAAUGUUGGACAAUGGGCGAAAGCCUGAUCCAGCAAUGCCGCGUGAGUGAUGAAGGCCUUAGGGUUGUAAAGCUCUUUUACCCGUGAUGAUAAUGACAGUACCGGGAGAAUAAGCUCCGGCUAACUCCGUU